GAAGGAGGGCCGUUGGCGGCCCUGCGCCGCCCCGGGUUGGGGCACCUUUCGGGGUCCAGUGCGCCGAAUGUGGAGAGGGAACAGGAGCGGUUCCCUGGCUCCUGGGGCGUGGUGGCGAAGGCGCCGUCAGGGGGCCGGAGUCCUUAACCUGCCACACAGCUCUCCCCACCGCUGCCCCGCGGCCACUGCAGCCCCACCGGCAGCACAGAAAGGGUCCUGCGUGUCUCGGCGCUGUGUGUUCCAGAGCAAGUGACUCAACAACUCUGGGCCCUUUCUUCCUCCUCAUGACUAGGAGCUCUGGCAGGGGACCGACUGCGUGCCAGGGGCCAUGCUAAGCACUUUCUACACAUCAGCCCAGUGCCUGCCCCCACUUCAAGAGUCUCUGAGUCUCUGACUUCAGAGCAGUUGACAGUGAGCCGUCCCUGCCUGCCAGCUGGAACCCAGAGUGAGCCUGGGGACAAAGGUGCCAGUGACUCAGGAAAGUCCCCUGGCACGCAUCUCAGCAACCAGGAAGCAGGUGACCACAGAUCAGAGGGAAAAGGCAGGUGAUGAUGGUUGGCCAUCUGUGGGUGGGUGACCGAGGAGUGGAGCCGUUGGCAUGGUGUGACAGUUACUCGUUGUAUGGCCUUGGUCUGCGACUUCGCCUCUCUGAGCCUCAGUUUCCCCAUCUGCAAAACAGGGAUAACAAAGUGGCUUGUCCCGGAGGGCUGCGAGGGGGGUGAACUGGGACAAUCCAGGUGAAACACGCUCUCCACGGCCCCGGAAAUAACUGUGUUUGGACACAUUGGUGGAAUGUUAGUCUCACCGGGACCUGUGCCUUACAGACGUAAACUCACCAAAUUUGUGCGACAGGCCUGUGAGGUAGGUUGUCCCGUACCCCCAGUUUACGGUCGAGGAGACAGAGACGCAGGGAAGACAAGUCGAGGCCCGAGGUCGCACAGCCUGGUGCAGCUGAGCUAGAGCCCAGGCACCUUGCAGCUCCCUGGCUGUUAGCUAAGGAGACGAGCUCUGUCCUGAGUCCAAAGAUGCUGGUGGGUCGGGGCAGGGAUGGCCUCCGGUGCCUCACGUGUGCUCCCCGUUUCACACCCAGGGCAACUGAGGCCCUGAUGGGUCCCCGUCUGGACGCAAACAGGCGGGACACGUGCCAGAAGAUGAGACGCGUCGAGGCCCCCUUGGAUUAACCUCACUUGGGAGCCACAGCCUCCCGGCCCCAGCAGAGCCACGUCUCUGCUCCCCGCUCUGAGCACAUGGCCUCCCUGCAGCUGGAAAGAGGGUCCCCAUCUCCCCCCGGGCCCCGUGAACCACUGCCCGCACUCCCCAUCUUCCUUCCUAGGGCGUGGGGGGCGGGGGGCUUGCAAGCAGCGACAGGUGCUCAAGGGCAGAGCCGGUCCUGCGGACGGACAGACGGCGAGAAAGCGCCCCACCUUGGUUCUGAAGGAGACCAGAAGGCAGGCAGCUUGGAACAUCUGGGCGCAUCUCAGAUUCGCAGCUUCCUAUGGGGUUGUCUUGGCCCAGAAACCACAGGAAUCUGCCCUCACCCUGCCGGCGAGGCGACUUUCCAGGCUCUGCGCACUUAUCGCACGUUAUUGUGUGCAUCUGCCUCCGGGCCUGCUGUUCCCACUGGGGCAGAACCCGAGUGGCUUCCCCUGUGCUGUCGCACGGUGUCACAAGGCCAGGGACGUGGCUGGGGCUCCAUCGGCGCUUGACCUUCGGAUGCCAAAACCUCACCAGGCCUUCCAAGUUCCAGAAUUGCCCGGCCGCUCCUGCCGGCUGCCAGUGUCCCGCUCCCCCCGCGGGGGCCGGCAAUGGAGGCUGAGUCCGUUCCAGGCGCCCAGCCUCCCCCCUUCUCCCCGGGGCCUUUGCCCUUUGGGUCCUCCCUCGAAACUGCAUGUGUGUGUUUCAAGCACCCCUCCCAGGGCCGUUUCCUUCUGCAGGCUGGCCUGUCUUGGCUAUUUCGGAGGCUGUGUUUGGCCUCUGGCUCACUGGGGACCAGGAAAACAAAAUUUAUCAUCUGACUGCCCUGGUUUUUUUGUUUUUUUUUUUUUCCUUCUUUCUCCUCCCCCCACCCCCCAAGAAUGAAGCAAGCACUUUUCUGCCAUUCUCAGAAAGAGCUUUAAACAUGGCAGGCCACCGGCAGAAGUCUGUCCUCCUCAGACGGAAGGAAUGCAACCAUUAACAAUAAAAAAAAUCCCCGGGAUUUAUGGGGGCCUCGGGCUUAUGAGCCGUUUCACACCCGUUAGCUCACAUGACAUAGCAGUGGGGGGGGGGGCAGGGGGAGGAAGAGCGGGAAUCGUCCUCUCCCUUUGAGACACAGGGACACUGAGGCCCAGAGGCACAAGCCCUCAUAGUGAGAUUUCCUUGCACUUUCGACGCGGGCCAGUUUGUUCCGUGUAAACAUUAAAAACGCACAGCAUGUUGGGUGACCCUGUCUUAGCGCCCCUUUUUUUCUAAUACAAGAGCUUUGGGGAG